ACAGUGAUGUUGGGGCUAAAGGAAGUGUGAAACAAAAUCGUGGCUCAACGAAUAGAAACUUGAUACAAAGGCUGUAUAAAAGGAUAAGGUUACAAAACAAACUAAAGUCCAAAAGAUACACGUAACUUUAUGCAGUAAAUCAAGUGAGUAAACGAGGAAGGUUAU
rnacentral:ncRNA from 1 species